AGAGACUAGUAUGAAUGGCAAGACGGAGCCAAACUGUCUCUUUUCCAUAAUUCUGAAUUUCACUCCCCCGUGAAGAGGCGGGGAUAAAAUCGCUAGACGAGAAGACCCUGUCGAGCUUACAGCAAAACUCAAACUCUUAUUAUACUUUAUUCUUUACUAAUACGUGACAUUAUAAGGAAACAAAGCCUCUAGGAGAUUGGAGAAAGCUUUGGUUGGGGCAAUCACGGAGUAAAAUAACCCUCCGCUAAUACAGAAAACUAUACUAAGAACCACAAUUCUAAAAUCAACAAUGAAAGUAUGAUCCACUAAGGUGAUCAAAGGAACAAGUUACCGCAGGGAUAACAGCGUUAUCUUUUCUGAGAGUUCACAUUGACGAAAAGGUUUGCGACCUCGAUGUUGGAUCGGGACAUCCUAAGGGUGCAGAAGCUUUUAAGGGUUGGUCUGUUCGACCAUUAAAGUCCUACGUGAUCUGAUUUCAAAACCGGGAGACGGACCCGUG
rnacentral:rRNA from 1 species